CAGAGCCCAGAAUUAGCAAUAUUGGACAGGAUUUUAUGGAUAUCUCUCCAACCAGUUGGUUAUCCUUCCCUACCACUCCUAGAGAAGGUAAAGCUCUGUGGAACAAAGGUUACAGUGAGACAGCUACUGAUGAAUCACUGAAAAGGAGAAACCACAGACACGAGCAACUGAAAAGGCAGCAUUACACUAUCCCUUCCUGGAAUCCUUCUUCUCUUAGACUGGAGGCCUGUGACCAGUGGAGUGCCAGAAGGAUCGGUGCUGAGUCCACUAC